CUUGGAGUCCCACAUGUGAGGGAGGCACAAGAAGAGGUCAUGUGAAUGCACAGCAAGAAGGUAGAUCUGCAAACCAGAAAGAGAGCUCUCACCAGAAGAAGGCCAUGCUAGUAUCCUGAUCUGAGACUUCCAGCCUCCAGAACAGUGAGAAAAACAUUUCAGCUGUUUAAGUCACCCAGUCUAUGAUAUUUUAUUACAACAGUCUGAGCUAACUAAGACACACACUCCAGAUUUGGUUAUCAUAUUUAUUAUAUUUAAUUGAUAAGUUACAUUUCCAUUGUGGCUUGUCAAAAGACUUCACCUUGUUAUUGUAACUAGAGAGUCAUGCAUUGAUCUAAACUUUCAGAUUUCUCAGACAAAAAGAAAAGUCUUCAUUAUUCCUACUAAGAAGAACAAAGCUAAAUCAAACUGAUGAUCUUCUCUACAUUUUGUGAUAGAUUUCUAGCUCUAGUUAGAAACUGAUACCUCAUGCUUUCUUUCUCCAUUCCCACACCUUCGUACCCAGGAGCAACAUUUGUUUGUUUGACAGCAAAAUAUUAACCCUGGAGACCUGUCCUGGCAGAAUUUUAUUUAAUCUUUACUUAGUAACUUAAUCUCCAUAAGACCAACAGUGACAUGAUUUCAUUUGACACCAGUGUCACCUCAGUCUUGAACAGAAAAUGUGCAUAAUGAUUUGUAAUAACUUUAUACUCAUUCAAUUACAUGAUGAAUUUUGACUUUUUCUCCAAGAUCAUUAUAGGCAACAUGUAGCAAUGUAUGGAGAAAAUUACAAUAACAGAGAUAGGUUUUCAUAUCAAGGUCAUUUAAACGCUAGGCAUCCUCUUCGCUUUUGCAUGGAGGGAGAUAACCUAGGCUAGCUUGAACUGGCAAUUUCUUUAACACCAAAAUCAUGCAAAUAACCAGUGUGUUGAAUAGUAUAUCACUAUUUGUCUUUAGUUUGUCCUGAAGCUGAAAUGGACACACUGCAUUAAUUUCUAGAAGCAAUUAAAAUCUUUUUUUUUUUUUUUUUUUUGAGAUGUAGCUCUGUUCUUGUUCUUGUUGUCCAGGCUGGAGUGCAAAGGUGCGAUAUCAGCUCACUACAACCUCUGCCUCCGGGGUUCAAGCAAUCCUCCUGCCUCAGACUCCCAAGUAGCUGGCGCCUGCCACCACACCUGGCUAAUUUUUUAUAUAUUUAGUAGAGACGGGGUUUCACCAUGUUGACUAGGCUUGUCUUGAACUCCUGACCUCAGGUGAUCCACCUGCCUUGGCCUCCCGAAGUGCUGGGAUUACAGUCGUGAGCCACCGCACCCAGCCAGCAAUGAAAUUCAUAGCAAGGUAUUUUCUACUCACAAAUACAGUUUGUUAUCCAGAUUUUAAUUAACCCAAUGGACACAAAUAACUUCUUGUGUGAGAGUAAUCUGUGGCUUUAACAAAAAUAUAGCAAAAAGACAAUGUUUCAUUGGGUUCAAAAUUACUUUUUAUCUCAACAGCCAACAACUUCAUAUUCUUACCCAUUGAAAUUUACGUUGGUUUUAAUUUUAAUGCUUUUUAAAAUGCACUCUCUUUGGUAACAACAAUAAGUUGUGGGCCCUUAAAAUCAUAAACUUCAUGAGUAACAGAUUUACCCAGUACAUAGGUUUAUAAAGUGAAAAAGAAAACAUUUUUGUUUCUGCUCCAAUUUUGAAUUUGAGAUCACUGUAUUUUAUACUGCAAGUGUUACAAUAAAUACUUUACAAGGCAAAAUAUACCCACUACAGUUAUACUUUAGUUAAUUCUGAGUUGUUACCAGUUCUAGCAAAAUUAGGAUUUCUGAUAUUGAUGAGGGAGAAAUCUAUGAAACAGGAUACACACAUUCUGGGAAUUAUGACUUCAUUGCAUCUUGUAGAUUAAUUUCUUCCAUACUUGAAGAGGAGCAAAGUUCCACAAGAAACUCACUAAGCUUCAAGCAUCACUAACAAGUAACAGCUUUGAUGAGUCCCAUAUGCAAUGCUUUCAUUUACUAUUAAAAAUUGACACUUUAGUCUUACUCUUGCAUAAUAACUUGUUCUUAAACUAAAAUUUGGGAAAUCUAAACAAAUUGUUACCUUUGGAAGAGAUUAUUGGAAAUCAGGAUUUGGGUUCUGUGUUAAAAUAAAAUAGAUAGGAAUUUGUCUGGGUGUGGUAAGACACAUGUAACAUGCCUGUAAUCCCAGCACUUUGGGAUUUGGAGGCAGGAGUAUCACUUGAGCCCAGGAGUUCAAGACCAGCCUAGGCAACAUGGCAAAAUCUUGUCUCUACCAAAAAUACAAAUAUUAGCCGGGCAUGGUGGCAUGUACCUCUGGUCCCAGCUACUUGGGAGGCUGAGGCAGGAGGAUCGCUUGAGCAUCAGAGGUAGAGGCUGCAGUGAGCCAUGAGUGUGCCAUUGCACCCCAGCCUGGGUGACAGAGCAAGACACUGUCUCAAAAAAAUUUAAAAAAAAUAUAGGAAAUCACUACUUACAAUGUGAAUUAUGUUCUAUGCUCUGAUUUCCAAAACCGAACUAAAUAUAAGGUCUCAGUGAAUCACCAAGUUUCUAAAAUUAGUCUCUGCUGCCCUUUCCAGAGGAAGGCCACCUUCCUUAUACCAAAAGUUAAUUCCAACAGAGGGAGCUGAAGAUAAACCAUUUCCCUCAGCAGAUAAUCUGGACAGUGGCCUCUCUUCCUCACUAAACAUGAGAGAGUUUGCUGGCUCAUGUCUGAUCAAAAGAAGGUGGACUGGGACAAAACCAAGUUUCAAUUCAUACUUUUAGGGAAGCUGUUUCAUGAGCAAGCAUAAAAAUCUAUAUAAGACACGUGUAACACAGAGACAUGCACACACAGAGACAUACACACAUGCAGAGGUUAGAUAGUUGAAGGAAAAAAAUCACCUUUCAAUAUUAGUUGAGGCGAGAGAAUUGUAAGGUCUUUCCCUGACUAUUAGCUAAGUGUUCCACUUCAUCAAUUUUUUUUCUCCCAUAAACUUAAUCCCUAAGCUCAUACUCUCUUUAAGAAGAUUCUCCUUGAUGUAAGCUCUAACAGCUUUAUCAUAAAUCAAAGUUCAUUGAUAAUUUACCUCCGGAAAAGUAGUUCUCUUGAGUGCUUCAUUUUAGAGAAUUUCCUUUUGGCUUCCUCUACUUAAUCACCAACACUCCCAGCUGCUCAAACAUGUGAGCAGACAAUAAUUUCCUUGUGCCUGCCUUAACUGGAACUAUUGCACCAUCCCAGAUCAGACCUUAUAACAAAGUCAUUCCACAUUACAAUGUGGAAUGUACGAUAACUGAUUCUCUAUUUUUUCUGUUUCUUUCCUUCUCUUAUUCUAUUCAUUCUCAUCUUUUCUUCUUAGGCUUUCUUUUUCCUCUCCUCAUCUUUCUCCUCUCCUCUCCUCUCCUCUCCUCUCCUCUCCUCUCCUCUCCUCUCCUCUCCUCUCCCUCUCUCUCUCUUUCUCUCUCAACCUCCCUCUCUUUUCUCCUUCUCCCUCCUUUCUCUCUUUCUUUUUUUCUGGAUUGAAACAAACCAAUUAUAUUAUUCCAUAGAAGAGUACCCCCAACCCCAAUAUGUCAAAGUACACUGGCCUGGGGUAUUUAAUGGUUGAGUAAUCUUCCUCAAUAAUAUUCAUUUUGCUUUCCACCAGUAAGAUCGUGUCAUCUCGAAUGUCUAGAAGAAUCUACACCCUGGGUUUUGAGAAUAAGUUCAAAUAUGUAUUGACAAGUUCAAGAAGCAAAGGCCAUUUUCUGCUUUUUCACUGAAAUGUAUAGGUUGCAAAUUAUAACGACUCCUGAUCUCAUUCACAUUUACUCAAACCGAAUGCUUUAAAAAUCCAACUAAGCUACUUUGGAAAGGGUGAUUCAUAAACUCUGCAGCAUCUCUCAAAACUCCUUCGUGACAGGCAGCUGUCAUGGAAUGUGGCCAGAGCCUGAGACAAGAUUAUCAAAUCAGCUGUGAUAUUCUGUGAGAGAUGGAGCUACUUAGGGCCGCAUAGAUUCGGAAUCCAGCCAACUAUGGAAUUCCAAGACCCUCGCUCCCUCGCUUUCCGAAGUCAAAUCUAACAUGGAUUUGGCCCCAACAGUGGGCAAGGUCGGGGCAUGAGGUCAGGAAAGGAGAAACAUCGGUUUUCGAUCUAAUAAUGGCUGGGCUGGAGCUUGUUCCCUGUGUCCAAAGGGCGUGCGUACUAGCACAAGCGUUGAGAAAGGUCUGGACCCGAUGUCUGCAGGAAGUGUCAGGACCUCCCUGUUCUGGGGACCUUCCCAGCCCACACCAGGUCCGUGCUCUCUAGAUUCCCCCAACCUCGCUCCACAACCCGGAAGGAGCUCAGGCCGGACUUGGCGUGAGGGUCCCUGCGGGGCUGGGUCACCUACCCGUCCGCGAUCACCCCACAGGGGCUGUUAGUAAUCUCCCUGCUUCCUAGGCCGUUGAGAAGCACUCAGGUCACCCACUCUCGGUGACCAGAGCGGUCAGUCUUUCCCCGCCAUGAAAUGUGAGUUCGGGUGGCAGCCGCCGCGCCCCUGCAGUGUCCCCUGCACAUCUCCGGUCUCGGUCUCGCCUUUCUCAGCUCCGCGCCGCCUUUUCCUGGGCGCCGCAGGACUCAUAGAAGUGAGGCGGGGCCACAGAUUUAAGUUUAUUCCCCGCAACUGUCGGGGCGGUCCCGGAGCUGGUGAGGACGCGCUACGGUGGGUGCAGAAAGGAGAUCCCUGGACUCUGUAGAACCUGGGCCCGCGGUGUGGACCGAUGGUGG
rnacentral:lncRNA from 10 species